CCAGACAGACGUUUUUCUCAGGAAUACCGCAGUUAACAGCUAUCUUCACACAUCAUCAUCACACCCAGUAUCAACGAUUAACGCCAUACCUACAGGGGAUACAGCAACAGGAGCAUCAAAAAAGCACAUGUGCGAGCAAAGAGUGUAAACAGACGUCUACUCCUACAACCAAGUAAUCGAAAUACAGAUAACAAUCAGAUACAUCUUCAGCGAUAUUGCAUACAUGCAUUAUGUGUAUCUGAGCAUCCUGGACGAAGAUGGCCACACCAUACAAUCGGACCAUAUACUUUGGGACAAUCGUUCCGGUUUAUUGUUCUUUC